UUUCUUCUUCUUUUCCCACUCUCUUAUCUUCAGUGCGUCCAAUUCUCGAAAAUGGAAUAGCUAUUUUCUACUGGGUAUUGUUUUCCCCUCUUCUUUUGAUGAAAAAUUUGUAAAUUUAAUAUUAGUUUUUGUGAUUUGUCACUGAAUUUUUACAGAUAUGUCGGCUUCCUUCUCCAAAAUAUACAAACAUACAUACAUGCGCCCCCCCCCCCCCCCCCCCCUUUAUUCAUUAGCAAAUAGUACCAAUUAUUUUUCUCCUCUCCAUUUCCAUUUUUAGGGAUUCAGUUCCACUGCUUUGUUGAGUCAAUUUGCUGAUUUCUGACUUGUGAAUUCCUUGUACGAUUCUUGGUAUAUGAUUUUUAUUUUAUUGCGCGUAGAAAUUUGAGGUUGUUGGAAUUUCUACUUGGUGUUGUUUUUUCCUCUUAUUUUGAUGGAAAAUGUGUUAAUUUAAUAAUAGAUUUGGUGAUUUGUUACUGAAUUUUUACCCGUAUGUCAAUAAAUUUGAUCUGUUUCACUCUUGCAUGCUCGAAAACAGCAAAUAGACAGUCGCGGUUGGUGAAUGCCAAUCCAAAUUUUUGUAGCACUGAAACCAUUUUAGUGAGAAAGACCUUCCAUCAUUGUCGUUCUGAUGGGUUUAAAUUGGCUUUGCUUCAUCAACUAAUUAAUUCUUUGUUUUAGUUUUUUGAAUGUUAUACUAUGUGCGUAACAAAUAUUUGGAACAAAAAAUGUCCACAAACGAAGAUAUUGCGGCGCGUAAAGCUCAAGAGAUUAAGGAACAACGACGAGCUGAUAGAAAUUUGAGACGCCGCACCAGAUAUGCACUAAUGUCACCUGAGAGAAAACAAUCCUUUUUGUCACAAUUGCGAGCUAAAAGAGCUGAAUUAAAAAAGCAAAGACUUAGUUAUCAUUCAACUAAUACAUUAUCCUCGACGGAAGUUGCUACCCAAACUCAAAGACAGCCUGGUCUUAUAAUUGUUGAUUCUUUGUUAACUUCUGAAGAAGGUAAUGCUUCUCGAACUACAAAUGUGCCAAAUACUGUCGAUAAAGAGAAUAAUAUGAUUAGUUGCCUCUCCGUCGUUGAAGUUGGAUCAGCAUCAGGUAGCGGUCCGUCUUGCAUUAAUGCAACAAAUUUACCAACUCCAGCAGCUACUGCAAAUAGACCAAAUACUGUCGAUAAAGAGAAUAAUAUGAUUAGUUGCGUCUCCGUCUUUGAAGUUGUUGUUGCAAUAUUAGGAUCAACAUCAGGUAGCGAUCCGUCCAGCAUUAAUGCAACAAAUUUACCAACCCCAACGGCUACUGCAAAUAGAGAUCUCCUGCAAGAUGCCAAACAACAUCCCAGUAACAGCUAUUUUCCCCUGAAAGAUGUGGAAGACAAUCAGUUGGGAAUCUUUGACAGACCUCUUCCUUGCUUUGGUUGUCGAAUAGGAUGGUUUUCAUAUGAGAAGAGGCAUUCAAAUAUUCCAGCUCCAUGUUAUUAUUGGACAGUGCCUUUAUCCAAGGUGCUUCCAGCCGGUUCUCUUGCAGGUAGGUCUCUAAUAAUACUGAAACAGAUGUGCCCAUCGAAGUUCAAGUUGUCGCCUCAUACAAUGAUUUUCUCCUCUUGCACUUCUUCGACAACUGUAGAAAUUUUUGUGUUUAGAAUCCCAUUACUGGAAUGAGACAAUUAAUACGAUUUCCUAAGACGUAUAUUUAGGUUAAGUCAUAUAUUUUAUAAUUAAUCUCUCUCCAAGAUAUUUCCAGUAUCAGUUUACUCAUAACCAUCUGUAAAACAAAAAAAGGUAAAAGAUUGUCUUCAAAUGUGUGCCCUUUUUCUGAUUUUUCCAGUUUAGCUAAACUCUUCAAGAUAUGAAUUAGUAUGAAAAAUCAACAAAAUAGUAAAGGAAAUGUAAAGUACAAAAGAAUACAUAUAAAAAUUCAGGUACUGAAUUUUCCAAGAUAGCAACUUUUUUAUGAAAGGUUUGACUGUUUGAGGUUUUAUUUACUGACUGUUAUCUCCAACUAAUACGUUUCCCACUGCUUUAAUGAGAGGCGUAUCUAGCUUAUAAGUUUGGGGUUCAAUUGAACCCCAAACUUUUGACGCGAAGCCUAAAUUUAUGUGUAAAAAAUUAUUAAAAUUGCAAUAAAUAGUAGAUAUAAACCUCUAACUUUAAGAAUAUUGAACCCAUAAAAUUUAAAUUCUGGAUUCGCCUCUGGCUUUAAUUCCUUUCACAGUCUGCCAUCAGGUAGCUGCCGGAAGACAAUCGGACAUUGAAAUGUCGGCCAUGCUAAAGGAACAGUUGAUAAGGUCUUCUCUUUGAUCAAGAUAUCUGCUCAAUCGGAAAUUAUUGUCAUGAUGUUGAAACACACGGAACAUUUUUAUUUGUCAGGUCAACAAAACAUGGCGAUAUCUACUAGAAAUUCAGAGAGUUUUGAAGCAUGAACUUGAAAAUCUUAAUCCCGGCGAACCCACUUUUUGUGGCCAACAUGUAAAUUCUGCCUGAGAUUGGCUAUGGAAAGCUAAAGAUUUCACAGUAGAAGGUUACAACAUCAUAUGAUCGAACUAAUUUUGAAGCUGCGUAUCACUUAGCUCAACUUCCUUAUCCUUUAUACAGGGCAUCUGAAGACUUGAUAUAUGCAUAUUGUGGCAUAUACUGUUUUGAUUCUUGCAUUUGGUUUUGUGAACUUCUCAACAAAUAUAUGAGAAGAAGACUGUAUAUAUUAUAAACAAUCUUAUCUUAAGAAUUGAAGAUCCUGAA